rnacentral:misc_RNA from 1 species
AAGUCGUAACAAGGUCUCCGUAGGUGAACCUGCGGAGGGAUCAUUAACACUUACAAAAGAGAAAGUAGACUAUUGCACCUAGUGUAACUAGUCUCACUUUACCUUUUUAACCAACUCGUGAACGAAACUGUAUGCCCUGCCUCCUUAGCUGUUCUCACGAUCAGCUAAGUGUGUUUUUAUACUGUAUCUAUUGUUUACUACAAACCAUAAUAGCAACUGUUGUAACAAAGGUCGUAGCUCUGCUAUGUACUGAUACUAUAACAAUUAUAAGCACAACUCUUAGCAACGGAUAUCUCGGUUCUC